UUUGAGGGCAAGUCUGGUGCCAGCAGCCGCGGUAAUUCCAGCUCCAAUAGCGUAUAUUAAAGUUGUUGCAGUUAAAAAGCUCGUAGUUGAAUUUCGGGAUCAAUUUAUUGGUCGUGCUAUUGUACGUACUGGUAUUAUUGAUUCCUACCUUCUGACGAACCAUGAUGUCAUUAAUUUGGUGUCUUGGGGAAUCAGGACUGUUACUUUGAAAAAUUAGAGUGUUUAAAGCAGGCUCACGCUUGAAUACAUUAGCAGUAGG
rnacentral:rRNA from 1 species